GUUGUUAUAGGGGAGAGAGCCUAUAAAUGCGUGGUUCACUGUGAAACCCAUGGCAGGAAAAGGUUCACAUACUUACUGUUCCGCUUGGGAUUUUGGAUUGUAUCAGGAAUGUAAGUAUGAAUGAAGCAAGGAUGAGGAAUUCGUGACAACUUGGUUUGGCACCAGAAUCUGCAAUUGGCUGCUGUUGACGUGCUUUCAUUUGGUUAUCUCUACUCUGAAUAUGCAUUUUUCAUUUUCUUUUUAUAUUUUGAGGAUAUAGUUUCCUUGAUUCCAAGGACCUGUUUUUGCUUUGGUGUUAUAGAGGAGAGAGCUGUGAAUGUACUGUCGGAUUUGAAAGCUUUGAGCCUUUGGAUUCAACGGGUUGCUUUUUGCCUUGAGUGUUUGUUCUGGAAUAGGUGUCCUAGUAUGAUGUGGCAGUGCUGCUGGUAUUUAUUUAUGUUUAGAAUUAUGAAUCUGAGUAUGAGCAGUGCAUCUCUUUCUUGGAUAAUCAAGAUAUAAGUCUGUUUUGCAGUGAGUUGAACAUUUGUAGAUACUUGAUACAUUUU
rnacentral:lncRNA from 1 species